rnacentral:rRNA from 1 species
ACCCGCUGAACUUAAGCAUAUCAAUAAGCGGAGGAAAAGAAACCAACAGGGAUUGCCCUAGUAACGGCGAGUGAAGCGGCAACAGCUCAAAUUUGAAAUCUGGCUUCGGCCCGAGUUGUAAUUUGCAGAGGAUGUUUCUGGCGCGGUGCCUUCCGAGUUCCCUGGAACGGGACGCCAUAGAGGGUGAGAGCCCCGUAUGGUUGGAUACCAAGCCUGUGUGAAACUCCUUCGACGAGUCGAGUAGUUUGGGAAUGCUGCUCAAAAUGGGAGGUAAAUCUCUUCUAAAGCUAAAUACCGGCCAGAGACCGAUAGCGCACAAGUAGAGUGAUCGAAAGAUGAAAAGCACCUUGAAAAGGGGGUUAAACAGUACGUGAAAUUGUUGAAAGGGAAGCGCUCAUGACCAGACUUGUGCUGGGCAGCUCAUCCGGGGUUCUCCCCGGUGCACUCUGCCCAGUUCAGGCCAGCAUCGAUUUUUGCCGGGGGAUAAGAACGGUAGGAACGUGGCCCUCCUUCGGGUGGGUGUUAUAGCCUACCGUACGAUACCCUGGCGGAGAUCGAGGUUCGCGCAUCUGCAAGGAUGCUGGCGUAAUGGUCAUCAGCGACCCGUCUUGAAACACGGACCAAGGAGUCGUCCAUUAGAGCGAGCGUUUGGGUGUAAAACCCGCACGCGUAAUGAAAGUGAAAUUAGGUGAGAGCUUCGGCGCAUCAUCGACCGAUCCUGAUGUUCUCGGAUGGAUUUGAGUAAGAGUUUUAACGGACGGACCCGAAAGACAGUGAACUAUGCUUGUAUAGGGUGAAGCCAGAGGAAACUCUGGUGGAGGCUCGCAGCGGUUCUGACGUGCAAAUCGAUCGUCAAAUAUGAGCAUGGGGGCGAAAGACUAAUCGAACUGUCUAGUAGCUGGUUACCGCCGAAGU